rnacentral:SRP_RNA from 1 species
UCUGGCUCCCCGCGUGGUGCCAUCCUGCUGAACUCCCCCAGGACCGGAAGGUAGCAAGGGUAGGUGGGCUCUGGUAGGUGCGCGGGGGGUCUUUUAC